AAUUUAUUGCAGCCUUCCCAGGGU
rnacentral:miRNA from 1 species